rnacentral:rRNA from 1 species
GGAGGAACACCGAUGGCGAAGGCAGGUCUCUGGGCACUUACUGACGCUGAGGAGCGAAAGCGUGGGGAGCGAACAGGAUUAGAUACCCUGGUAGUCCACGCCGUAAACGUUGGGCGCUAGAUGUGGGGACCUUUCCACGGUUUCCGUGUCGUAGCUAACGCAUUAAGCGCCCCGCCUGGGGAGUACGGCCGCAAGGCUAAAACUCAAAGGAAUUGACGGGGGCCCGCACAAGCGGCGGAGCAUGCGGAUUAAUUCGAUGCAACGCGAAGAACCUUACCAAGGCUUGACAUAUACGAGAACGCGCCAGAAAUGGUGAACUCUUUGGACACUCGUAUACAGGUGGUGCAUGGUUGUCGUCAGCUCGUGUCGUGAGAUGUUGGGUUAAGUCCCGCAACGAGCGCAACCCUCGUCGCAUGUUGCCAGCACGUUAUGGUGGGAACUCAUGUGAGACUGCCGGGGUCAACUCGGAGGAAGGUGGGGAUGACGUCAAAUCAUCAUGCCCCUUAUGUCUUGGGCUUCACGCAUGCUACAAUGGCCGGUACAAAGGGCUGCGAUGUCGUAAGGCGGAGCGAAUCCCAAAAAGCCGGUCUCAGUUCGGAUUGAGGUCUGCAACUCGACCUCAUGAAGUCGGAGUCGCUAGUAAUCGCAGAUCAGCAACGCUGCGGUGAAUACGUUCCCGGGCCUUGUACACACCGCCCGUCAAGUCAUGAAAGUCGGUAACACCCGAAGCCGGUGGCCUAACCCUUG